rnacentral:lncRNA from 1 species
AUAUAUUAAAUAGUAUUAUUAUAUAUAAUUAAUUAAUUAAUUAUACGUAUCUAUGAGUAAAUAUCAUAGUUAGUUAAUUCGGAUUCGGCAAAAAUUCGGUACGGAUAAAAUUCGGAUAAAAUUCGUCUUUUAAUUUUUAAAUUUGUUGAAAAAUACGGCUAAAAAUCAGAUUCGGCAAUUAUUCGGAUAUGUGAUUUUUACGGGUAUUAUGCGUUCACCAAUUAAAAACUCGAGAUAUAAAAUUCAACUAUAUAAUAAAUAUAUAAUAAUUAAUAUACUAUAUAUAUUAUUAUUAUAAUUUAUAUAUAUAAAUUAAAUAUAUUUAAAGUUAUAAUAAAUAUAUAUUAAUAAUAUAUAAGAGUUAUGUAUUUAGAAAUAUUAAUAAAUAAUUAUAAAUUUAUAU